AUUGAACGCUGGCGGCAGGCUUAACACAUGCAAGUCGAGCGGAGAUGAGGUGCUUGCACCUUAUCUUAGCGGCGGACGGGUGAGUAAUGCUUAGGAAUCUGCCUAUUAGUGGGGGACAACAUUCCGAAAGGAAUGCUAAUACAGCAUACGUCCUACGGGAGAAAGCAGGGGAUCUUCGGACCUUGCGCUAAUAGAUGAGACUAAGUCGAAUUAGCUAGUUGGUGGGGUAAAGGCCUACCAAGGCGACGAUCUGUAGCGGGUCUGAGAGGAUGAUCCGCCACACUGGGACUGAGACACGGCCCAGACUCCUACGGGAGGCAGCAGUGGGGAAUAUUGGACAAUGGGGGGAACCCUGAUCCAGCCAUGCCGCGUGUGUGAAGAAGGCCUUAUGGUUGUAAAGCACUUUAAGCGAGGAGGAGGCUACUGAGACUAAUACUCUUGGAUAGUGGACGUUACUCGCAGAAUAAGCACCGGCUAACUCUGUGCCAGCCGCCGCCGUAAAAC
rnacentral:rRNA from 1 species